UGCGGAAUAUUGGUCAAUGGACGGAAGUCUGAACCAGCCAAGUAGCGUGCAGGAUGACGGCCCUAUGGGUUGUAAACUGCUUUUGUAUGGGGAUAAAGUUAGGGACGUGUCCCUAUUUGCAGGUACCAUACGAAUAAGGACCGGCUAAUUCCGUGCCAGUAGCCGCGGUAAUACGGAAGGUCCAGGCGUUAUCCGGAUUUAUUGGGUUUAAAGGGAGCGUAGGAUGGAGAUUAAGUGUGUUGUGAAAUGUAGACGCUCAACGUCUGAAUUGCAGCGCAUACUGGUUUCUUUGAGUACGCACAACGUUGGCGGAAUUCGUCGUGUAGCGGUGAAAUGCUUAGAUAUGACGAAGAACUCCGAUUGCGAAGGCAGCUGACGGGAGCGCAACUGACGCUUAAGCUCGAAGGUGCGGGUAUCAAACAGG
rnacentral:rRNA from 1 species